GACGAACGCUGGCGGCGUGCUUAACACAUGCAAGUCGAACGGAAAGGCCCUGCUUUUGUGGGGUGCUCGAGUGGCGAACGGGUGAGUAACACGUGAGCAACCUGCCCUUGACUUUGGGAUAACUUCAGGAAACUGGGGCUAAUACCGGAUAGGAGCUCCUGCUGCAUGGUGGGGGUUGGAAAGUUUCGGCGGUUGGGGAUGGACUCGCGGCUUAUCAGCUUGUUGGUGGGGUAGUGGCUUACCAAGGCUUUGACGGGUAGCCGGCCUGAGAGGGUGACCGGCCACAUUGGGACUGAGAUACGGCCCAGACUCCUACGGGAGGCAGCAGUGGGGAAUGUUGCACAAUGGGCGGAAGCCUGAUGCAGCAACGCCGCGUGCGGGAUGACGGCCUUCGGGUUGUAAACCGCUUUCGCCUGUGGCGAAGCGUGAGUGACGGUAAUGGGUAAAGAAGCACCGGCUAACUACGUG
rnacentral:rRNA from 1 species